GACCUUCGCAACCAAAGGUGAAAGAUGGAGUGCAAUGUUAAUGCCAGGUCAAUUAUUCAGUGAAUGUUGUAUGAAAGUGAUGAAAGAGGAAACUAUCAAAGCUAGCACACAUGCAAUUACAAUCUUUGACCUUCAUAGGAAAAAUUUCAGUGUAUAGGAAACAAUGGACCAUAAUGAGGGGAGGCCAAAUUUACCCCAUGAUGUCAGACUAAACAGAAGUUGACGCGACUGUGAAAAG
rnacentral:lncRNA from 1 species